rnacentral:rRNA from 2 species
GAGUUUGCUCCUGGCUCAGAACGUACGCUGGCGGCACGCCUAACACAUGCAAGUCGAACGAAGUAGCAAUACUUAGUGGCAGACGGGUGAGUAACAUGUAGGUAUCUGCCCUUUGGCCUGGAAUAACACGAGGAAACUUGUGCUAAUACCGGAUAAGUCUUUACGGAGAAAGCUUUAUGCACCAUUGGAUGAGCCUGCACUUGAUUAGUUUGUUGGUGGGGUAAUGGCCUACCAAGACUUUGAUCAAUAGCUGAUUUGAGAGGAUGAUCAGCCACAUUGGGACUGAGACACGGCCCAAACUCCUACGGGAGGCAGCAGUGGGGAAUCUUGCACAAUGGAGGAAACUCUGAUGCAGCGAUGCCGCGUGAGUGAAGAAGGCCCUUGGGUUGUAAAGCUCUUUCGUCGGGGAAGAAAAUGACUGUACCCGAAUAAGAAGGUCCGGCUAACUUCGUGCCAGCAGCCGCGGUAAUACGAAGGGACCUAGCGUAGUUCGGAAUUACUGGGCUUAAAGAGUUCGUAGGUGGUUGAAAAAGUUGGUGGUGAAAUCCCAGAGCUUAACUCUGGAACUGCCAUCAAAACUUUUCAGCUAGAGUAUGAUAGAGGAAAGCAGAAUUUCUAGUGUAGAGGUGAAAUUCGUAGAUAUUAGAAAGAAUACCAAUUGCGAAGGCAGCUUUCUGGAUCAUUACUGACACUGAGGAACGAAAGCAUGGGUAGCGAAGAGGAUUAGAUACCCUCGUAGUCCAUGCCGUAAACGAUGUGUGUUAGACGUUGGAAAUUUAUUUUCAGUGUCGCAGCGAAAGCGAUAAACACACCGCCUGGGGAGUACGACCGCAAGGUUAAAACUCAAAUGAAUUGACGGGGACCCGCACAAGUAGUGGAGCAUGUGGUUUAAUUCGAAGAUACGCGCAGAACCUUACCAACACUUGACAUGUUCGUCGCGACUUUAAGAGAUUAAAGUUUUCGGUUCGGCCGGACGAAACACAGGUGCUGCAUGGCUGUCGUCAGCUCGUGUCGUGAGAUGUUGGGUUAAGUCCCGCAACGAGCGCAACCCUCACUUUUAGUUGCCAUCAUUAAGUUGGGCACUCUGAAAGAACUGCCAGUGAUAAGCUGGAGGAAGGUGGGGAUGACGUCAAGUCCUCAUGGCCCUUACGUGUUGGGCUACACACGUGCUACAAUGGUAUCUACAACAGGAAGCAAGACUGCGAAGUUAAGCAAAUCCUUAAAAGAUACCUCAGUUCGGAUUGCACUCUGCAACUCGAGUGCAUGAAGCUGGAAUUACUAGUAAUCGUGGAUCAGCGUGCCACGGUGAAUGCGUUCCCGGGUCUUGUACACACCGCCCGUCACACCAUGGGAGUUGGUUCUACCUUAAGGCAAGGUUUCAAACCCUUGACCACGGUAUAGUCAGCGACUGGGGUGAAGUCGUAACAAGGUA